rnacentral:rRNA from 1 species
AACGAACGCUGGCGGCAUGCCUAACACAUGCAAGUCGAACGAGACCUUCGGGUCUAGUGGCGCACGGGUGCGUAACGCGUGGGAACCUGCCCUUAGGUUCGGAAUAACUCCCCGAAAGGGGUGCUAAUACCGGAUAAUGUCUUCGGACCAAAGAUUUAUCGCCUUUGGAUGGGCCCGCGUUGGAUUAGCUAGUUGGUAAGGUAAAAGCCUACCAAGGCGACGAUCCAUAGCUGGUCUGAGAGGAUGAUCAGCCACACUGGGACUGAGACACGGCCCAGACUCCUACGGGAGGCAGCAGUAGGGAAUAUUGGACAAUGGGCGAAAGCCUGAUCCAGCAAUGCCGCGUGAGUGAUGAAGGCCUUAGGGUUGUAAAGCUCUUUUACCCGGGAUGAUAAUGACAGUACCGGGAGAAUAAGCUCCGGCUAACUCCGUG